rnacentral:rRNA from 1 species
CAAGGUUUCCGUAGGUGAAUUGCGGAAGGGUUCAUUA